AACGCUAGCUACAGGCUUAACACAUGCAAGUCGAGGGGAAACGAUAUUGGAAGCUUGCUUCCGAUAGGCGUCGACCGGCGCACGGGUGAGUAACGCGUAUCCAACCUGCCCACCACUUGGGGAUAACCUUGCGAAAGUAAGACUAAUACCCAAUGAUAUCUCUAGAAGACAUCUGAAAGAGAUUAAAGAUUUAUCGGUGAUGGAUGGGGAUGCGUCUGAUUAGCUUGUUGGCGGGGUAACGGCCCACCAAGGCAACGAUCAGUAGGGGUUCUGAGAGGAAGGUCCCCCACAUUGGAACUGAGACACGGUCCAAACUCCUACGGGAGGCAGCAGUGAGGAAUAUUGGUCAAUGGACGAGAGUCUGAACCAGCCAAGUAGCGUGCAGGAAGACGGCCCUAUGGGUUGUAAACUGCUUUUAUAAGGGAAUAAAGUGAGUCUCGUGAGACUUUUUGCAUGUACCUUAUGAAUAAGGACCGGCUAAUUCCGUGCCAGCAGCCGCGGUAAUACGGAAGGUCCGGGCGUUAUCCGGAUUUAUUGGGUUUAAAGGGAGCGUAGGCCGGAGAUUAAGCGUGUUGUGAAAUGUAGAUGCUCAACAUCUGCACUGCAGCGCGAACUGGUUUCCUUGAGUACGCACAAAGUGGGCGGAAUUCGUGGUGUAGCGGUGAAAUGCUUAGAUAUCACGAAGAACUCCGAUUG
rnacentral:rRNA from 1 species